CUAUACUUUUUAACAAUUUUUGGUUUUUGAAAACACUUGUUCUAGGGUUUGGUAAAAUUUCAUUCUCAUAUCUGCAAGCCACAAUAACAGUGAAAGUUGAAGGAAGAUUUAAAAAUUUUCUCACUCUAUGUUCAAAUGUGAGGAGAUUUUGGAUAAAUAUCUUUGAUGUCUACAACUCAUGACAGGGAGUGAAAGUUGAAAAAGAUUUAGAAAUUUUUCUCUCCAUGUGCAAGUUUUAGAAGAUCUCAUAUCUUUUUGAAGACAUUUAUGUGGGUUUUAGAGAUCUUUGGUCAAUUUUGGUUGGUUGGAGAAUAUUUUGUUCAGGGAGAUAUUCUUGGGAUCUAGUUUGAGAAGGUAAAAGGUGUCGAUUGGUUUUCGCUGGGCACCAUAUGAGGCAACUUAGAGAUGUUAAACGGUUUAGAUGACUAUGUUGGUUGUGACAGUUGGAAUAGAUUGCACGUGAAGGAUUAUAAGAGGAAGUGUUCAAGAUGACCUCUAUAGACAUUGUGGACUUAUCUAGCGAUGAUGAAUGUGUAGAGCCGCAUUUGAAAUCUGUUAAGUCUGAGCCUGUUGUUGUUGGGAAUAGAAUACAACGAGAAGAAAGUAAGUUUCAACAGAAGCUCCAGUCGGAAACGCAAUUUAAAAGGCAAGAAUCCGAAGAAAAUAGAAGCUCAAAUAUUUUGAGUGCUGGCCAAAGUUGCUCUAGUAUACUGGAUCAAGGGCAGUCUCCGGUAGAUGAUUCAAGUCUUUCUUCCACAUCACCUACAUGUCCUGCACCGCUUUGUCGGCAGUUCUGGAAAGCUGGGAACUACAAUGAUGGGCUUGGUUCUAAAGUCUCACUUCAAAAUGGCAAAAACUAUCUACUUGUUCACCCAAUGUUCCUUCAUUCAAAUGCAACUUCACAUAAGUGGGCCUUUGGUGCUGUAGCAGAACUGCUUGACAAUGCAGUUGAUGAGAUCCGAAAUGGGGCCACUUUUGUCGUUGUAGACAAAACCACAAAUCCAAGGGAUGGAAGUCCAGCAUUGUUAAUUCAAGAUGAUGGUGGUGGAAUGGAUCCUGAAGCAAUGAGGCAGUGCAUGAGUUUUGGGUUCUCGGAUCGGAAAUCUAAAUCAGCCAUUGGACAAUAUGGAAAUGGUUUCAAGACUAGUACAAUGAGACUUGGUGCAGAUGUUAUUGUCUUCAGCUGCCACACGAGUAACAGGAUAUUGACACAAAGCAUCGGUCUCCUCUCUUAUACAUUUUUGACACGAACAGGCCAUGACAGAAUAGUAGUGCCCAUGGUGGACUACAAGUUUAAUACAUCAACUGGCACUCUGGAAAUACUACGUGCUAAAGAGCAUUUUAUGUCUAAUCUUUCCAUUCUGUUGCAGUGGUCUCCAUUUUCAACAGAAUCAGAGCUUUUGAAGCAAUUUGAUGACAUUGGGCCUCAUGGCACCAAGGUUAUUAUCUACAAUUUGUGGUUCAAUGCUGAUGGGGAUGUGGAACUUGACUUUGAAUCAGAUCCUCAGGAUAUUCGUAUUAGUGGGGAGUCCAAAAGAAUUGAGACAUUACGUGCUUGGAAGACAACAAAUGAGCAGCACAUUGCUAAUCAAUUCCAUUAUUCUCUCCGUGUAUACUUGUCCAUCUUGUACUUGCGAGUACCUCAAACAUUCAACAUAAUGUUGCGUGGACGAGUUGUUGAGCAUCAUAAUAUUGCUGAUGAUCUCAAAUUUCCAGAAUUCAUUUUGUACAGACCUCAAUAUGGUGGAUGUGUUGAGGGUCAAGUUAUAACUACAAUUGGAUUUCUUAAAGAAGCUCCACAGGUCAGCUUUCACGGUUUCAACGUCUACCAUAAGAACCGUCUAAUACUGCCGUUUUGGCAGGUUGUGAGUUAUUCUGACAGUCGGGGCCGAGGUGUUGUUGGUGUUCUACAAGCUGAGUUCAUUGAGCCAACUCACAACAAACAAGAUUUUGAGAGAACUUCACUUUUCCAGAAGCUUGAAUCUCGGUUGAAGGAAAUGACUUUAGAGUACUGGGAUUAUCAUUGUGGACUCAUUGGAUAUCAGGUCAAAAAAAAGCUCCGUGCACCAGAGUUGCUGCAGAUUUCAUCUCAUAGUAUGCCACACAGCAGCAAACAAGAAUUUAUUACAUCUAAUAAACAUUCCCCCGCUAUUGGUAGUGCAAAAGCUGGACUUGUAAUUGCAGAACAAUUCAUUCCCAAGUCUCAAUUCAGAUCUAAGCAUGGAGUAUUAGAGAAGAGAAAGGAACACGUUGAUUUAAUAGAAGUAGAAAAGGCCAAAAGGAGGGCAGUGGAAGUGGCCAAUAUAACUGAUGCUGGGUACGAUCAGGAGAUACAGCCACUAGUUACUGCUGGGAACCAACCAAAAGAUCAGGAGGCUGUCAACUUGUUGCAAGAAAACAAGAAGCUCCGAGCAAAAUGUUUGGAGUAUGAGAAGAGGGAAGAAGAACUUAAGUUCAAGGUGACACAGCUCAAAAUUGCAAUAGAGGAGGUUUGUCGGGAAUACAAUCGGAUGUUGGGCGAAUUAGAAUCAUUGGAGACAAUCAAAGAGGAAACCAAAGUAUAAAUGUAGUUUUUGUUUUUUUUUUCCCCUUUUUCUUCAAUUAUUUCAUAUGUACAAGUCUUGUGCUAUAGCCCAGUGUAGCCUACAACCGGUUGGGGUGAGAAUGAUGGGGUCGUUGCAAGUGAAAGCCUGGGUACCAGGGCUUUUUCUUCUUCCCCCGAAGUUUUGUUGUUGUUUCUCUCUUUAGCCCUCCAUUUUUCCCAAGUACUGUAAAUAUAAAGUGAAGCUGGAAGAUUGCCUCCACUGGUUGAAGAUAUCACCAACUACUUGUCUACCUUCAAACAAUGGCAAGUACAUCGAUCACAAAAUUGAUGCGGGCAUAUUGCGCGAUGGUCGGGCGGCAAAGUGUUGAGUUAUAUGUUAUCAAUGCUUCUCAGUUAGAUUUGCUAACAUGUGAAGGGCAUUGAUUUUGGUCCCUUUCUAGUAAGCCAUUGCUUUUAACUUCAACUUGCAGGGAAUCUAAAGGUGCAUUGCAGUUUAUGCACGAGAAUAGAGCUUUUCUAAUUCAACUACAGUUUUUUUGCUUGGGAAAGAGAGUUUAAUCUGUACUCCGAGGAGACACUUUAUAGCAUUUGCCGAA